GAUGAACGCUGGCGGCAGGCCUAAAACAUGCAAGUCGAACGCUGUAGCAAUACAGAGUGGCGCACGGGUGAGUAACAUGUGGGAAUAUGCCUAUUGGUACGGAACAACGUUUGGAAACGAACGCUAAUACCGUAUGGUCCCUUCGGGGUAAAGAUUUAUCGCCAAUAGAUUAGCCCGCACUAGAUUAGCUAGUUGGUGAGGUAAGAGCUCACCAAGGCGACGAUCUAUAGCUGGUCUGAGAGGACGAUCAGCCACACUGGGACUGAGACACGGCCCAGACUCCUACGGGAGGCAGCAGUUAGGAAUAUUGGACAAUGGGCGCAAGCCUGAUCCAGCCAUGCCGCGUGAGUGAU
rnacentral:rRNA from 1 species